GAAGGACAACUGCUCAAGAGAUGUAAAUGUCACAAUAAAAGGAUUCUAGACACUGUUAAGAGUAGAGUUUUGUAGAGUUGUGACUCCACCAUUGAUUGAGAAGCAGGCUAAAGUGUUCUACGAUGUUCCAUGACGAAAGGAAAUAAACAUUUGUAAAAGGAACUGGAGUCUAUGGAUCAAUCGAGUGGCGGCACAAAAAGAGUUGCUGCAUAGCCACAUAUGUUCCUGUCUUGUGCACGAAGGACAGCCAUGAGGCUUCCACGGAGGUUUCCGGGCGUCCCAACACUUCACGCCAACUUAAGGCAGCAGAAACAACAACCGUCCACGUCUUCCCUGAUUGGUGCGCUCCUCGGAUGUAAAUACGCACUUCUAUUCAGGCCCCGCCUUUCAGCGAACACGAUGGCAUUUCAUAGGAGGAUCUGGAAGAGCGGCUCCACUGGUUGGUCCUGGGUGGCAGGUACAUUGAUCAUGUCCAUCAUUCAAGUCCCUCUUUUACAGAUGGCUCAAAAAAGGAAGAAGGGAAGGUUGGGAUGGGAGUUUAUAUACCCUCAAUGAAUUAUAGUAUUGCAAAAAGAAUACCAGAUCAGCUCUCAGUUUAUACAGCUGAAAUGAUGGCAAUCAUUAUGGGAUUGCAAUGGAUAGAGGAAGUUAAACCAGAGAGAGUGCUAUGUUGCGUAGACUCUUUGUCAGCUAUACAGCUAUACAAUGAACAAUGCACCAACAAAAGGCAGACGCACCCGGCUGAACUAAAUACAACAAUCAAAUUAGAAACAGGUGCGCGUAGAAGAGGGUGUAAAAGUGACAGAACACAGGACAGCCCAACACAGGAAAAUUACAAAAUAAGGGCAUGGAAGCAGGAACUAAGGCAGACAACGUGAAACACAAAACUGUCACACAGGAAGCGAUGCAGAUGGUGACAGCGACAUGAGGCGGACCACAGUGGGCCUGAGCAUCUUGUCGGGGUCUGUCUGGACAUUCCCACCCCCACCGAUGUUGGGAUUUAUCGUGAAUCCCCCAACACGGUGCCCCCUCUAGUCUGCCAUUUGUCCAGCGAGCCGGAGACAACCAGACGACUUGUUUAGAUCUUUUGAGAAACUAGAGUUCCUGACAUAAAUUUACUGAAAAGAAAGCAUUUCAGUCUCAAGACCUGCUGGGGAAUCAGCUAACGGUCACAUGGAACAUCUGCGUGGUGCUCCACCAAAACCACAUCAGCAAAUUCACAUUCUCAUCACAAGCACAAACUGAGCAACAAGAAGGUUUUUCCUGUGUGAAGAGGACCAUCCUCGCAGCCACGAGCCGGACGACGAGGAGGGCCGAAGCGAUCCUGCUGUUGGACGACAAGAGUUUGUCUCGUGAUGAGAGAUGCGACUGAGGAGGAGCGCUGAAGAUCCUCAUCUGGAGACGGCGGAGGUCAUCGAUAUCCCAGCACCGAGGAAUGAAGGAGACGCUUGGUGAUGCUUUUUGAAGGCGUCACCUGACGCAUUUGGUUAGGGUUCAUGUUGAUGACCUUUCAGUAUUGAAGGUCAAACUGAGACGCUGAGUCCAUGGAGGAAGACAGCGUGAUGGGAGUGAGAGGAAGAUCCCGCGGCGCGGUGAGCCAAAUGGUUGGAACACGGGGAGAAAAAUUCUAUUUAUUUUUAUAGCUUGGAGAAGAA